rnacentral:rRNA from 1 species
CCUACGGGAGGCAGCAGUGGGGAAUAUUGCACAAUGGGCGAAAGCCUGAUGCAGCAACGCCGCGUGAGUGAUGAAGGCCUUCGGGUUGUAAGCUCUGUCUUCGCUGAAGAAGAAUGACGGUAAGCGAGGAGGAAGCCACGGCUAACUACGUGCCAGCAGCCGCGGUAAU